rnacentral:rRNA from 1 species
AUGGAGGAGCCGCCGCCGCAGUACAAGUUCGGGCCGUACAAGAUCGACGCGAGGGAGGUCCUCCACGCCACGCCCCUCUCCUACGCCAUGGUCAACCUCCGCCCCCUCCUCCCUGGUCAUGUCCUCGUGUGCCCCAAACGCGAGGUGAAACGAUUUGCUGAUCUAAGUUCUGAUGAGACUAGUGAUUUGUGGGUAACUGCAAAAGAAGUUGGUGCAAAGCUCGAGCAGUACCACGAAGCUUCUUCCAUCACAUUCGCAAUUCAGGAUGGUCCUCAGGCUGGCCAAACAGUUGCCCAUGUCCACAUCCACGUCAUCCCCAGGAAGAAAGGAGAUUUUGAGAAAAACGAUGAAAUAUAUGAUGCGAUUGACGUGAAAGAGAAGGAAAUGAAGGAGAAGCUUGACCUGGACGUUGAAAGAAAAGAUAGAAGCAUGGAAGAAAUGGCUCAUGAGGCCACCGAGUACCGCGCUCUUUUCUCCUAG